rnacentral:rRNA from 1 species
AUUGAACGCUGGCGGCAGGCUUAACACAUGCAAGUCGAGCGGAGAGAGGUAGCUUGCUACUGAUCUUAGCGGCGGACGGGUGAGUAAUGCUUAGGAAUCUGCCUAUUAGUGGGGGACAACAUUUCGAAAGGAAUGCUAAUACCGCAUACGUCCUACGGGAGAAAGCAGGGGAUCUUCGGACCUUGCGCUAAUAGAUGAGCCUAAGUCGGAUUAGCUAGUUGGUGGGGUAAAGGCCUACCAAGGCGGCGAUCUGUAGCGGGUCUGAGAGGAUGAUCCGCCACACUGGGACUGAGACACGGCCCAGACUCCUACGGGAGGCAGCAGUGGGGAAUAUUGGACAAUGGGCGCAAGCCUGAUCCAGCCAUGCCGCGUGUGUGAAGAAGGCCUUAUGGUUGUAAAGCACUUUAAGCGAGGAGGAGGCUACUUUAGUUAAUACCUAGAGAUAGUGGACGUUACUCGCAGAAUAAGCACCGGCUAACUCUGUGCCAGCCGCCGCUGUAAUAC